GGUGCUCAAACCCUGCCCGUUUCCUGGUGGCUAACCCUCGGUGCUUCCAGCAGUUGCACCUUGCUCCAACCAGUGGCUGCUAGCUCUAGGCCUCAGUGCUCCAGCUCCUGCCAGUGGGUUUCAGGCCGCCCUCCGAGCCCCGACCUUCAUGUUACUGGCCUUUGCGGCAGCCAACGGGAGCGGCAUCAAGCCCUCAUUUUCUCCAUGGUCAUUGGACUGAGAACCUGCUGAGAGGGGUUGCGCCCUUCCCAAGGGCUGCUGUGUUGCGGUGGUUUUUAUCCUGUAUUUACUGUGAGUGUUUGUGUGACGGUGGGCAUUGAGUUUUUUUGUUGUUGUUGUGGCUUCUGUCAAACAAUAUUGCCGACCCUUGUUUUUAUAUUUCUUUUCUCAGGGCCGAGUGCAGGGACGGAGCGUGUUGGGCGACAACAGUGGAGGCUCAAUUUGGGCGUGUUCAAAUUUAGUUUAUAUGUUUUUUGUUGUUUUCCACGUAUGUGCAUGCCACAGAGUGGGGUGUUUUUUGUUUUCUUUGGUUGCCAAUCUCCUCCACAUGGGUCGGCCCAGCGCUCCGUUGGUAAGCCUCGGCCCUCAAAGGGUCUCCUUCCCUUUUUCCCUCCCCAGUGUGAUUGAGUCGUUGUUUAUAACACAUUUUGUAAAUAAAAUUGCUUUUAGCUGGUACCACGUCUUGACAUGUUAAACAGUAA